rnacentral:tRNA from 1 species
CGGGGCGUGGCUCAGCCUGGCUAGAGCGCCUGGUUCGGGACCAGGAGGUCGUAGGUUCGAAUCCUACCGCCCCGACCA